GACGAACGCUGGCGGCGUGCUUAACACAUGCAAGUCGAACGGAGUGGCGAACGGGUGAGUAAAACGUGGGUGAACUGCCUUGCACUUCGGGAUAAGCUUGGGAAACUGGGUCUAAUACCGGAUAGUGCAAGAUGAGCUCGCGGCCUAUCAGCUUGUUGGGGGGGUAAUGGCCUACCAAGGCGUCGACGGGUAGCCGGCCUGAGAGGGUGUACGGGCCCAUUGGGACUGAGGUACGGGCCAGGCUCCUACGGGAGGCAGCCGUGGGGAGUAUUGCCCAAUGGGCGGGAGCCUGAUGCCGCGGCGCCGGGUGGGGGAUGAAGGCCUUCGGGUUGUAAACUCCUUUCGACAGGGACGCGGUACCUGUAUAAGAAGCACCGGCUAACUACGUGCCAGCAGCCGCGGUAAUUC
rnacentral:rRNA from 1 species